rnacentral:sRNA from 1 species
GGAGAACUGGCUACUUCCGUAAACAAAAAAGAGAAUAUCAACGUGGGUUUUUAAUAAAUUUAUCUUUUCAAAGGCGAUGACUUCAAGUGCCCCAGCGUUCUGGGGUGGUAAAGAUGGAUUGAGGAGUAAAAAGGCAGAUGAGUGGUCCAACACAUUCGUUUCUACACUUGGCUUGAUUGACCGUGACCUGAGCCUGUUAUAUGAUGGGGUUAAGACUGAUGAGGAUGUCCCAACGUUAGGUUUAGUUAAAGAUGGUCAAGAAGCCAAUGAGUUAUCUUUGCACGAGGUUUGUGACAAAUUUGUUGCUCAUUGUGAAAAGGCGGUUGAUAUGUUGAGGUGAGUCAAGUGAGAAUCAAAAAUGAAUGACACCCCUUCCCAUUCUCCGUUGUUACCUAAUGCCUUUUUU